UGUUGCACAGAUGUUACAUUU
rnacentral:miRNA from 1 species